GAAGAAAAGUGGAGCUGUUUCUGGAAUGAAGUCUUCAUUAAAUCCACACAAUAUUGUUUUGUGUUUACGAGGGAAGCAGUUACAAAGCAGGGCCCAAGACAUUUUUGAAUCUGAAGCAGAAAACCGAAGGGAUGCCUCUCCCCUUCCGCAUGGAAAAGACUCAUCACAGCAAGUCCAAGCCUUGCUAUCUCAUCGUCUUCCUCAGACAACCCAAGAUCUGACCCUAGAUACACACUGCUGCAUCUGAGGGGUCAUCCAAUGAAGCUGCUUCGCAGGAGAUUUAGGAUGGAGAAAAGGAAGGACUUCACACUGUGUAUCAAUCUCAGG